AUAGUCGUUGAGCUCGUCACCUCUCGUCGUAGUAUUUUGGGUCGUUGCGUUAGUGCAUUAGCUGAUAUACGGUUAGUUUUCCAUUUUAGCGAACGAUAUUACGAAGCCCUUGUUUCCUGCUGUUCUAGCGUGGUUACGUCUUGACAGCUUCAUGGAAUUUAGGACAGUUAGUUCGCAGAAAAAGUGUUUGUGAGUGUGGAUGUGUGUGUGCGCGCGAGAUACAAUUGCAACGCAUAUAAAUGUGAGCGCCAGCCAAAUGUAUUUCCGCUAGCGUUCGCAUUGGCAAAUUAUAUCAUAAAAUCAACAUUGUGCGGUCGUUUUGCCAUUGACAUAGGUCACGUCGCUAACGUGUGUGUACGUGCGCUGCGUUCGAGUUGCGAGCCGCUUCAGUGCUGUGUUCAGCGAGCGAACAGCAACGCUUUCACGCACAUACGUCACCGUCGCUGCUUGUAUGUGUGUAUGUACUUACAUAUAGUGUACUUUAACAGUUUAACUGCAUAGCAGCAGCGCGCACACCAACACACAUACAAACGCACAUUUGUAGUGACGCCGCGGACUUUUGGUGUUAGCACGCGUGUUGUGCGCGCAGCGUGGUAAGCACGCACCGGCAGCGCUGCCGCGAGGCUUCCACAAACCAUACAGGAACCAACCAUAGAAACGAACACACACAUACACAGGCACCGCAUUAAGCACUUUAUGUGCGGUAAUUCGAAUAUAAAUUUGAUUUUCCUGCGAAUUGCAGCAACAAAGCAACAAAGAAAGCGAAUGUGAAAUUGCCAGCAGCAAUUUGUUGCUUGCGUGAGUGUAAUACAUAUAAUAAGCACAUUAACAACAACUAUAAAAGCAAAAAGCACAACUCUAGUGAAUACAAGCCACUGCUGCAAUAAAUAAAAUCUGUAAAUGCACAAUCAAAAAUUGCACCAACUUGUGUGCGCGUGAGUGUCAAAUUGUUGAACGCUGUCGAUUAUGCGGCGCGUUGAUUCUUAAACGCUUGCGUAUUCGCCGAAAGUGCAAAUACUAAAUUUCCGUGCCGUGCGCGUUAAAUGGUGGCGAAUUACUAGAGUAAGGCGCGGACGGCCAUUAUCAUUUGCUCACUUUGCUGCUAACGGUGUGCAUUUGAAGCACUUAAACACACGCCUACAUACAUGCGUACCUAGAUUUGUUUACUUACUUUUGAGCACAUUGUUGCCGGUAGUGUUUUCGUGGCACUUGUGCGGUUCGUAAAAACAAAAGUUGUUGACAUUAAAAUUUCUGUAAAUGCGCGCUUAAUGCAGUUGCUCGUUUGAGUUGUGAGUGUUGCUGUUGCAAAGUAUCGCUGCAGAUGUGUGGUAAAUAAAACGAAAAUUUGUUUGUGUAAACACUUGUGAGACUCUGGAGUGCUGUUGUUGAAAGGCAAUCUCGCAAACAAUCAGCUUUGGCAUUUUUAAAGUGAGUGAAAAGUUGAAAUUGAGACUAAAAAGUGUUUGCAAGUCCGAAUUGUGAAUUUAAAUAUUCUAUCUGUUGUCAUAUAAAGAAACGAAUUUAGGAAGAAUUAAAAGAGAAAUCUGCACGGAUUGCAAUUUUGUGUAGGCA